rnacentral:lncRNA from 1 species
GAGCUAUUUAUCGGAGGAGGAUGUACUCGCAUAACACAAUGACUGUCACGAUGCUUUCCUACCGGAGAAAGAUGCACACAUUUGAGUAUUUCUGUUAGCCAUCAUGGUAAACAAAUGUUUGUUGUUUCCUUUGUUUAUUUCCAUUGGCAAAACAUUGCUUAUCAAUGAUUGGAACUAUGCUUCCAGCAGUAUCACUUGCCAUGAUGAGCUACACCAUUGAUUCUCAUUUUGUGUACUUAUCAAGGCUGCUAUCUGAUUUUUUCACUUCCCUUUUGUAGUCUUUUGUAUGCCUUGCUUUUGGUACUAUACUCUCCAGCUGCCUUUUGUAGUGUGCUACUUGGUUUUCGGUCCCUUUCUUUGUAAAUGACUUGCCCUAAUUAUUACCAAUGAUAUUUAGACUUGUGGGAUGUGUUGCUUUGUAUAUGAACAACUUGCUGUAAUCCCGAUCCUGUAUCAUUCCUUUUUACUCAUAUAGGUUUUGUUUUCUACAACCUCUGUUUGCAUUACAACUUCGAAAUAUAUAGGAUGUGGUAUGAUUACAAUUACGAUUAGCACUGAUUGCGUGGGUAUGGCAAAGGCGACAACAAUUUUUAGUAUCACCCUUUUUUGAUUUUUAUGUCAUGUUGAUUACAUCCGGUCAUUGCAUUCACUGGGAGGAGACAUUGCGCUAUGCAUGACACCCAGUCUGGCCAGCCUUUGCAACUGUCAGCAACCUAUUUGUUCUUCUCCUUAGCCAGACCCGAUUCUUCGACUGGUUUAACUUGCAUAGUAGUUCUGUUUAGAUUACAGUUUUAGAUUCCUCCACUCUUUGCUAUGAUUAGGUUAAUUUCUAACAAAUGGGAUGAUGAUCAGGAUGAAUACUAUUUUGGUAUUGCUACCAUUAUGGUUCCACUCAUGAAUAAUUGAAAAUAACGGGAUGAUCCAUCGCAAGCAAUCAUUCUAAUUCCUAUUUGGCAACCUUGAAUACCCCGAUGUGUUUCGAUUUGGUAGGCUUGGUUCCCUCCCUGAUUGUGUGCAUCAUCAUGGUGUUUGCUUGUUGUUCUAAAGUUUCAACUGUAUGGCUACUAUUGGGUUGGCUUCUUAUAAGUUAUGGGAGAGAGUGAGAGUGUGGGCUUGGUCAGGGAGAUCUCUUUUAUUUAUUUGCUGGUACCUGAUAGUUUUUCAUGUUCCCUUGUGAGAUCUUAGUGAAAAUAAUGAUUUUAUUUGCUGUGCGGGCGGGCGGGUGCAGAGAAGAAGAACCUCAACUCGGAGCUCUUGUUUCUUCUUAGUAUAUAUGUACAAAUUAUAAAUAUAAUAAAUAUAUGUGUCCUUUUUUCCUCUUUCUCUCCUCUGGUUUUACCGCCAAACUGGGUGGCCUUGAUGAAUGAUGUUGGCUUAUUUUAGAGAAAAUCUUUCUAAAUAAAUACUUGAUAAAUGAUGUUGGUUUAUUUUAGAGAGAAUCUUUCUAAGUAAAUAUACACUGAAGAGAGGUUUCAAUUUCCUAAUAGUACAUGUUCAAAUUGUUGUUGUAUGUGACCUUAGAUAGAAGGAUGUGCACUUGUGAUUAUCCCUUUCCCUUUUUGUAUCAGAGCUUUGUGCCAAAAAACUGCUUUGGUGCCGAGACAAUUACCUUGCAACAUUAAUCUUGGCUGAAAUUGUGCACCUUUACUAGAUCAAUCAUGUUUGUCAGUGUUAAAUAAUUAGGCACAUAAUAAGAUGAGAUCAUAGUGUAAUCAAGUUUUGUGCCUAAAGAAAAUCUUGGAGGAUAUCUAUGUAUAGUAGGCUUAUUAUGUUUUCUGGGUGCCUUGUGGAAUACUAAGAUAAAAUAAAUUUAAUUUCAUUUUUAUAUUCUUUUAUGUUAAAGAGGCUACAUUGUAUCCAGAUCACUUAAUAUUAUCCAAAGUGAUUCUCUUUCAUACAGACCAAAUUAGUUCCUCGCUGUCCAUGAGACACACUAUUUGAAUAUUUUGCCUAACAUGACAUGUCCUUUAGCAGAUCCAUGCGUUGAAACAUGCAAGCAAAUCAAAUGAAGGAGUGUGGACAAAGUUAUAUAUCAAGCAAAUCGGAUGAAGGCGUGUGGACAAAGUUAUAUAUCUAACAGUCAACCAUGUAGUUUACUAUUAUGCAGUAUGAAAAAUAGUGUAAACAAGUUAUCUGAGACUAAUACUGCUACGGCCUGCUUUUGGUUUCUAUCAUACCAAACCUUGCUUAGGUAUUUCAUGUCACAUUUUAUAACAAAUGCGCUGAUGGCAUGUAGAUAGGGCCAUUUUUUAGAUAUUUUACAGGAUGAUUACUGUUGUGAGUAUCUACCAACACCUACUCUUUGAGUAAUAUCAGAUAUAUUUCUAUCCUGAGAUAUAGAGUAAUAUCAGAUGUUAAUCGGAAAAGAGUUAUAUCAGGGGUUUGAUCAUUGAACUUUUUUUAUUCCAUCCUGAUUAAGUUGUCCUGUACAUGUGUUAAACUUGCCUUUCUAC